UGGUAUAUCUGGCAUAUUUUGAGAUCCUU
rnacentral:piRNA from 1 species